GUCAGGAUGGCCAAAUGGUCUAAGGUGCCAGACUCAAGUUCUGAUCUCCAAUGGAGGCGUGGGUUCAAAUCCCACUUCUGACA